CUCUCUCUGGGCUUAGCCCAGAACCCUCUGGUGUUGUCAGAGAGACAAGAUUCAGGUAUAAGUGAUGCCUUGUGGUCAUCGGUAAUGGAAAUAUGCAUUAUUCAACUAUGGAUACGUGAUACCAAAGAGAAGAAAUCUUGGAAUGGACCCUGAGCAGAAACAGAUGGCGGCCCAGGAGGAAUCUAUCUGGGACGAAGGGUUGAAGAAAGGCCCUGUGACAGUCACAGUGGUGAAAGGAAUGAAAUGAAGCCGUUCAAAUUUGAAACCCGAGAAGGGAAGCAAGAGAUCUUUCAUGCUAGCGUGGCUACUGAGCGUGAAUUCUUUUCUGUGAAAGUUUUCAGCAAAGAUCUAAAACGUAAAUUCACUCCAAAGAAAAUAAUUAUAACAUCAAAAUAUUAUUGGCGCACUCAUUUCCUGGAAGUGAAUAGUGCCUCUCUAUGGUUGAUGUUAGAUCUGACCAACAGAUCAGUGUCCCAAAGCACUUUAUCAGAAAAGCUGUUGAGAGGCUGGCCCGGUGGCCCAGUGGUUAAGUUCACGUGUUCUGCUUUGGUGGCCUGGGGUUCACUGGUUUGGAUCCAGGGCGCCGACCUACUCACCAGUCCUCAAGCCACGCUGAGUUGGCGUCCCACAUAGAAGAACUAGAAGGACCUACAAUUAGGAUAUACAACUGCAUACUGGGGCUCUGGGGAGAAAAAAAGAAAAAGGGGAAGAUCGACAGAAGAUGUUAGCUCAGGGGCAAUCUUCUUCAAAAAAAAACAUAAAUAAAUAAAUAUAAAUAAAUAUAAAUAAAAGAUGUUGAAAUCCCAAAGAUCAAUAAGCUUCCAACUCAACCCCCUGGAACAAUUCUGAAUGGGCUGUUUGUACUCCAGAAGAAAGGCCUGACGUGGCCUGUCAAUCAUGCAUUGUACACCUGCUUUAAACAUUUACAAAGCAAAGAAUGAUGUCUUUAAAGAUGGGGAUGUAUGCCUCCCUCCAUUUCAGCAUUUCGUUCAAGGUAAUCAUUCUUUCCCAGAAACUAAGGGUCAAACUGACCUACUGUGUACAUCUUGUGACCUGCUGUGAUCAUCUUGUGACCACUGACCUGCUU